AGGACGAACGCUGGCGGCACGCCUAACACAUGCAAGUCGAACGGAGAUUGAGAGCUUGCUCUUAAAUCUUAGUGGCGGACGGGUGAGUAACACGUGAGCAACCUGCCUCUGAGAGAGGGAUAGCUUCUGGAAACGGAUGGUAAUACCUCAUAACAUUACAUGACCGCAUGAUCGUGUAAUCAAAGAUUUAUCACUCAGAGAUGGGCUCGCGUCUGAUUAGCUAGUUGGUGAGGUAACGGCCCACCAAGGCGACGAUCAGUAGCCGGACUGAGAGGUUGAACGGCCACAUUGGGACUGAGACACGGCCCAGACUCCUACGGGAGGCAGCAGUGAGGGAUAUUGCACAAUGGAGGAAACUCUGAAUGCAGCGAUGCCGCGUGGAGGAAGAAGGUUUUCGGAUUGUAAACUCCUGUUUCGAGGGACGAUAAUGACGGUACCUCGGGAGGAAGCUCCGGCUAACUACGUGCCAGCAGCAGC
rnacentral:rRNA from 1 species